ACCCGCUGAACUUAAGCAUAUCAUUAAGCGGAGGAAAAGAAACCAACAGGGAUUGCCUCAGUAACGGCGAGUGAAGCGGCAAUAGCUCAAAUUUGAAAUCUGGCUCUUUCGGGGUCCGAGUUGUAAUUUGCAGAGGGCGCUUUGGCGUCGGCAGCAGCCUAAGUUCCUUGGAACAGGUCAUCAUAGAGGGUGAGAAUCCCGUAUGUGGCUGCUUGUCUUCGCCGUGUAAAGCCCCUUCGAUGAGUCGAGUUGUUUGGGAAUGCAGCUCUAAAUGGGAGGUGAAUUUCUUCUAAAGCUAAAUAUUGGCCAGAGACCGAUAGCGCACAAGUAGAGUGAUCGAAAGAUGAAAAGCACUUUGGAAAGAGAGUCAAAAAGCACGUGAAAUUGUUGAAAGGGAAGCGCUUGCAGCCAGACGUGCCCGCAGUUGCUCAUCCGGGGUUCUCCCCGGUGCACUCUUCUGUGGGCAGGCCAGCAUCAGUUCUGGCGGUUGGAGAAAGACCUGUGUCAUGUAGCUGUUCUCGGGCAGUGUUAUAGGGCAGGUGGAAUGCAACCAGCUGGAACUGAGGUCCGCGCAUCUGCUAGGAUGCUGGCGUAAUGGCUGUAAGCGGCCCGUCUUGAAACACGG
rnacentral:rRNA from 1 species